GUAGCCACGCCGACGCGGUCCCCGCUCGCCGUCUCGAACGCCACCGCGAAGGACGGGUAGUUGAGUCCUGACACCGCGUAGGUCCUUUUACGGUCACAGGUGUAGUUGGUCCUUUUGGCGACGGCGGCGAUCUGGAGGGAGGUGUAGUUAAGGGCGCAGAGGAAGUCGAUGUAGUCGUCGGCAGUGAGGUCGUAGACGAGGCCCGGGUCCAUGCCGCGCCGGGGGUCGACAUGGCCGGCGCCGUAGUCGAAGGGGGUUGCGGCCUUGCCGGUGGCGACGUCGAGGACGCCGCCGUUGCCGCCGGGGUAAUCGGCGUAGGCGGUGGUCAUGAGGGCGGAGCGGAUGGCGGCGGGGCUCCAGUCCGGGUGGGCACCUUUGAGGAGGGCGGCAAGGCCGCUGACGUGGGGACACGACAUGGAGGUCCCGGAGAUGAUGCUGAAUUCCACCCGCCGCGAGUCCACCGACAGCCCCGUGGGCCCCACCGCGCCGGUCCACCCGGCGAGGAUAUUGACCCCGGGGG
rnacentral:lncRNA from 1 species